GACGAACGCUGGCGGCAUGCCUAACACAUGCAAGUCGAACGGAGAUUAUUUCGGUAAUCUUAGUGGCGAACGGGUGAGUAACGCGUGGGCAACCUGCCCUCUAGAUGGGGACAACAUCCCGAAAGGGGUGCUAAUACCGAAUGUGACAGCAAUCUCGCAUGAGGAUGCUGUGAAAGAUGGCCUCUAUUUAUAAGCUAUCGCUAGAGGAUGGGCCUGCGUCUGAUUAGCUAGUUGGUGGGGUAACGGCCUACCAAGGCGAUGAUCAGUAGCCGGUCUGAGAGGAUGAACGGCCACAUUGGGACUGAGACACGGCCCAGACGACUAAGGGAGGGAGCAGUGGGGAAUCUUCCGAAAUGGGCGAAAGCCUGACGGAGCAAUGCCGAGGGAGUGAUGAAGGAAGUCGUUCCGUAAAGCUCUUUUGUUUAUGACGAAUGUGCAGAUUGUGAACAAUGAUCUGUAAUGACGGUAGUAAACGAAUAAGCCACGGCUAACUACGUG
rnacentral:rRNA from 1 species